UGGCUCAGGACGAACGCUGGCGGCGUGCCUAACACAUGCAAGUCGAGCGAGGCCACACCUUCGGGUGUGAGUCGAGCGGCGGACGGGUGCGUAACACGUGAGCAACCUGUCUUGGUGCGGGGGACAACCCGGGGGAAACUCGGGCUAAUACCGCAUGGUCAGGACCCUCGCUUGAGGGACCUGGGAAAGAUGGCCUCUUUACAAUGCUAUCGUGCCAGGAGGGGCUCGCGGGCUAUCAGCUAGUUGGUGAGGUAACGGCUCACCAAGGCAGCGACGGCUAGGGGGUCUGAGAGGACGACCCCCCACAUUGGAACUGAGACACGGUCCAGACUCCUACGGGAGGCAGCAGUGGGGAAUAUUGGGCAAUGGGCGCAAGCCUGACCCAGCGACGCCGCGUGCGGGAGGACGCCUUUCGGGGUGUAAACCGCUGUCAGGGGGGACGAAUGACCGGAGUGGGAAUACUGCUCCGGAGUGACGGUACCCUCAAAGGAAGCACCGGCUAACUCUGUGCCAGCCGCCGCGGUAAUAC
rnacentral:rRNA from 1 species